rnacentral:rRNA from 1 species
AUGCCACAAGAUGUUCGAUUUGAUUGGUUACUCAAGUGUCUAAGUGUAAGUUUCAAGUAUUCUUCUUAUGAUAGACUGAAGGCUUAUCGGCGCGCGAAGGUUCUCUGGAUUGGUUGUGGUGAGCGCUGGGCGAAGGAUUGUCAGUGUAAAGCUACUGUUCAACUCCAUGUUGUUCAGGAAAUGGCGGAAUUAUCGCGGAGUACUGCUGCAGGCUAUUCUAUGUUACAGGACCAUGAUGACUCUGCUUCGGAUCUAAGGGUCCUCUCCGCUGAAGCUAAUCAGAAAUCUCCUGCACUCCGUUCCAUUCAGUUAGCUUGCUCAGUAGUCCAUAAUUUGGAUGUUACCCUCUUUUCUUGGUCGACUCGGGCAGCACUCAUUCCUUUUUGA